CUCUGGAUGUCGCUGAACUGCAACUCCCAUCAGCCAUUGCAAGCAUGUCCAAAGGCCAGGGAUGACGGGAGUUGCAGUUCAGCAACAUCCAGAG